UUGGUGUGAAUUGCAGAAUUCAGUGAAUCAUCGAAUCUUUGAACGCACAUUGCGCCCCUUGGUAUUCCGGGGGGCAUGCCUGUUCGAGCGUCAUUACAACCCUCAAGCUCUGCUUGGAAUUGGGCACCGUCCUCACUGCGGACGCGCCUCAAAGACCUCGGCGGUGGCUGUUCAGCCCUCAAGCGUAGUAGAAUACACCUCGCUUUGGAGCGGUUGGCGUCGCCCGCCGGACGAACCUUCUGAACUUUUCUCAAGGUUGACCUCGGAUCAGGUAGGGAUACCCGCUGAACUUAAGCAUAUCAAUAAGCGGAGGA
rnacentral:rRNA from 1 species